rnacentral:rRNA from 1 species
UACAGAGGGUGCUAGCGUUGUUCGGAAUCAUUGGGCGUAAAGGGCGUGUAGGCGGUUUGUUAAGUCAUGUGUGAAAUCCCUCGGCUCAACCGGGGAACGACGCAUGAAACUGGCAAGCUAGAGUACCAAAGAGGGGGGUGGAAUUCCUGGUGUAGCGGUGGAAUGCGCAGAUAUCAGGAGGAACACCAAUAGCGAAGGCAGCUCGCUGGGACGGUAUUGACGCUAAGGCGCGAAAGCGUGGGGAGCAAACAGGAUUAGAA